rfam:Dactylellina haptotyla CBS 200.50 unplaced genomic scaffold scaffold00082, whole genome shotgun sequence.
AUCUACGACCACAGAACGAGGAAAAUUGGGUAUCCCGUCCGCUCUGCCUUACACAAGCCUCGUAUCGAUCAAGUAGUAGUAUCGUGGGUGACCAGAUGCGAAUUCUGAUUGUUGUAGUUC